rnacentral:tRNA from 1 species
GGGCCGGUAGUGUCAACGCGAGCACGCACGCCCUGCAAGCGUGCAGUCUGGGUUGAAAUCCCAGCCGGUCUACCA